rnacentral:tRNA from 1 species
GCCAGAGUGGCGAAAUUGGCAGACGCUGGGGACUUAAAAUCCUCCGACCGUAUGGUCAUGCGGGUUCGAUUCCCGCCUCUGGCACCA